GAUAUUUCAGUUUAAAAAAUAAAUAAAUUGUAAUACAUUUGCAAACAUUUCUAAAAACCUCUUUUUGCUUUGUCAUUAUGGGGUAUUGUGUGUAUGAUUGAUGAGGAAAAAAUAGAAUUUAAGAAUAAGGCUGUAACGUAACAAAAUGUGGAGAAGGUCAAGGGGAUCUGAAUACUUUCUGAAGGCACUACCCAAGAUGCAUCUGUUCUGGCGGCGGCCCAACGUCUCAUUAAGACACUUUAUGUUGGAGUUUCCCCUAUUUUGGCAGAAACCUGUAUAUCCUGUGUUUAAACCUACAUCUGGGAUAUUUUGAAUAUAGACGUAGUUUAUACUGUACGAGAUGUGGUUUUCCAAAUAUAGUCAUAUGCUAUUCGUUUUGUCUGUAGCCUGUUCAAUACAUUUGCAUCUCUUUACAAUGAAUUAAAAUCACACUUAAAAGGUUUGAAAGUCCAUUGAAUUGUUGAUUUUAUACACAAAUAAAUUAACUCAAUAUGUGAGGUUCUAAUGAAGAGUUAAAAAGAUUAUUACAAUCAAUCAAUCAAUCAUUCAAUUAUUCUACUCUCAAAUAAGUUGAUCAGGGCCAAUAGUCUGUUAUGACCAAUGAUCAGGGCCAAUAGUCUGUUAUGACCAAUGAUCAGGGCCAAUAGUCUGUUAUGACCAAUGAUCAGGGCCAAUAGUCUGUUAUGACCAAUGAUCAGGGCCAAUAGUCUGUUAUGACCAAUGAACAGGGCCAAUAGUCUGUUAUGACCAAUGAACAGGGCCAAUAGUCUGUUAUGACCAAUGAUCAGGGCCAAUAGUCUGUUAUGACCAAUGAUCAGGGCCAAUAGUCUGUUAUGACCAAUGAUCAGGGCCAAUAGUCUGUUAUGACCAAUGAACAGGGCCAAUAGUCUGUUAUGACCAAUGAUCAGGGCCAAUAGUCUGUUAUGACCAAUGAACAGGGCCAAUAGUCUGUUAUGACCAAUGAUCAGGUCCAAUAGUCUGUUAUGACCAAUGAACAGGGCCAAUAG